AUUGAACGCUGGCGGCGUGCUUGACACAUGCAAGUCGAUCGGUAACAGGUGUAGCAAUACAUGCUGACGAGAGGCGGACGGGUGAGGAAUAUUUGGGAAUCUGCCCAUCAGCGGGGGACAACCCGGGGAAACCCGGGCUAAUACCGCAUACGCUCUACGGAGGAAAGCCGGGGACCGCAAGGCCUGGCACUGAUGGAUGAGCCCAAAUCGGAUUAGCUAGUUGGCGGGGUAACGGCCCACCAAGGCGACGAUCCGUAGCCGGUCUGAGAGGACGGUCAGCGACAACGGAACUGAGACACGGUCCGGACUCCUACGGGAGGCAGCAGUGGGGAAUAUUGGACAAUGGGGGAAACCCUGAUCCAGCGACGCCGCGUGGGUGAAGAAGGCCUGCGGGUUGUAAAGCCCUUUCGGUAGGGACGAAAGCUCUUGCUCUAAUAAUGCAAGAGGUUGACUUAACCUACAUAAGAAGCACCGGCUAACUCUGUGCCAGCCGCCGCAGUAA
rnacentral:rRNA from 1 species